GAUCUCUCUCUUUUAGCUAUUUUUAUUGAUGCUUCUAAUUAUAUAUGAUGAUUAUUAUUUGUAGAUAAUUCUCAUGACUAAUUAUACAACAAGAAACACUUGAGGUUUUAUUUUUUAUUUUUAUUUUUUUACAAUUUCUUUCUAUACAUUCAAACAUACUUAGAAAAAAUAUUCUUGGAUUGUGUAUUUUCUCUAGGCAUGGCUGACUUGGCUCCUCCUGGUGGUUUUCUGGUGUUGAUCCUCAUUUUCCAACCAUUCAUAUUCAAUAUCUCCUUGCCUGCGAAAUAGCUUUAUGUUAUACACAACACUUUGGUGUUGUUCGGGAG
rnacentral:lncRNA from 1 species